rnacentral:rRNA from 1 species
GAAUUGACGGGGCCCGCACAGCGGUGGAGCAUGUGGUUUAAUUCGAAGCAACGCGAAGAACCUUACCAGGUCUUGACAUCCCCUGACAACCCGAGAGAUCGGGCGUUCCCCUUCGGGGGACAGGGUGACAGGUGGUGCAUGGUUGUCGUCAGCUCGUGUCGUGAGAUGUUGGGUUAAGUCCCGUAACGAGCGCAACCCCUAUUGUUAGUUGCCAUCAUUCAGUUGGGCACUCUAGCGAGACUGCCGGUAAUAAACCGGAGGAAGGUGGGAUGACGUCAAAUCAUCAUGCCCCUUAUGUUCUGGGCUACACACGUGCUACAAUGGCCGGUACAGACGGACGCAAAGCCGCGAGGUGGAGCAAAUCCUAAAAAGCCGGUCUCAGUUCGGAUUGCAGGCUGCAAUUCGCCUGCAUGAAGUCGGAAUCGCUAGUAAUCGCAGGUCAGCAUACUGCGGUGAAUACGUUCCCGGGCCUU